GCAUUUGUUUCUAUAAUUUUUAAUGCACCGGAUCCCAUCAGAACUCUGUAGUUAAGCAUGCUUGGGCGAGAGUAGUACUGGGAUGGGUGACCUCUUGGGAAGUCUGACCAAUCCA
rnacentral:rRNA from 1 species